rnacentral:rRNA from 1 species
CCUACGGGGAGCAGCAGUGGGGAAUAUUGCACAAUGGGGGAAACCCUGAUGCAGCGACGCCGCGUGAGUGAAGAAGUAUUUCGGUACGUAAAGCUCUAUCAGCAGGGAAGAAAAUGACGGUACCUGACUAAGAAGCCCCGGCUAACUAAGUGCCAGCAGCCGCGGUAAUACGAAGGGGGCAAGCGUUAUCCGAAUUUACUGGGUGUAAAGGGAGCGCAGACGGCAGAGCAAGUCUGGAGUGAAAUCCCAUGGCUUAACCAUGGAACUGCUUUGGAAACUGUGCAGCUAGAGUGCAGGAGAGGUAAGCGGAAUGCCUAGUGUAGCGGUGAAAUGCGUAGAUAUUAGGAGGAACACCAGUGGCGAAGGCGGCUUACUGGACUGUAACUGACGUUGAGGCUCGAAAGCGUGGGGAGCAAACAGGAUUAGAUACCCUUGUAGUC